rnacentral:lncRNA from 11 species
AUAAAGUUAUGGAACCGCUGUGUACAGCUGAUUAAAGACUGUGGUGUCGUGAUCGGCAAGGAGAGAGGAUGUGAUUUGCUUGCUAAGAAAGCAUGUCUCAAAUGAGCGAUGGACUUUGUAACUUGUAAAUUGUUUGUAUAUAAUGUUAUGGAACCGCUGUGUGGUGUCGUGAUCCUUUUUGGGGUCAAAUUCCUGUGCAUUUGUAUCCAAAACCAGUUACUUUUUUGGGGUCAAAUCCCUGUUGUUUUGGACCCAAAACCAGAUCCUUUUUGGGGUCAAAUUCCUGUAGCUUUGGACCUAAAAUCAGUUCCUUUUUGGGGUCAAAUUCCUGUUGCUUUGGACCCAAAACCAGUUCCUUUUUGGGGUCAAAUUCCUGUGCAUUUGGAUCCAAAACCAGUUCCUUUUUGGAGUCAAAUUCCUGUGCAUUUGGAUCCAAAACCAGUUACUUUUUUGGGGUCAAAUUCCUGUUGUUUUGGACCCAAAACCAGUUCCUUUUGGGGUGAAAUCCCCAAAAGCCAGUCUUGAGGAUUCAAAGCCAGUUUCUUUUUGGGGGUGAAAUUCCUGUUCUUUUGUAUCCGAAAUUAUUUCCUUUUUGGGGUGAGAUUCCUGUUCUUUUGCAUUCAAAGCCAGUUACUUUCUGUGGUCAAAAUUCAGUUACUUUUUCCCACAGAUAUAUAAACCCCACUUGUCUUGCUUCCAACAGACCUCACAAUCUCUGACAAUGCCUGCCAUAGAUGUGGGCGAAACUUCAAGAGGGAAUGCUUCUGGAAUAUAGCCAUACAGCCCCGAAAACUCACAGCAACCCAGUGAUUCCGGCCCUUAAAACCUUCGACAGCUCUUACUAGUCGUCUCACAAUUUGCAAAGGAGUCUAUAGAUUGACUAAGUUGGCUUUCCAAGUCAUUACAAGGCCAGGACUCACCCUCCGCUCUGCCCCAAAGAUCGCAGGUUCUUUUUCCCCAUCUCCCGAUUGUAUCUGAGAAAAGUCAUGACUACAGAAGGCAUGGCCAGGGCUCUCUGGAUAAAUACCUACCGUUACAGUAAUUUAGUACAAUGACUACAGAAGGCAUGGCCAGGGCUCUCUGGAUAAAUACUUACCGUUACAGUAAUUUAGCUCAAUGAAUUCAUUGUCUUUUGCAGAGUUCCCUAGAUCUUACGUUUUGGGGAAUGACCCCAAACCAUUUUGGGGUUCUCUUGGGGAGUUCAAAGGCUCCCCAACUUCUGUAACCCCCACUUUGAGAUGGCUCUAAACUCUCCUAAUUUGGGGGAGAGGCUUUGGAUGCCCUUGUUUACAUCCGGGGCACCUAAGUCACCAAACCAAAAAAGGAUGGGGUAAAUGCCAUGUGGUUCUCACGUUUUGGGGAAUGAUCCCGAACCAUUUCGGGGUUCUCUUGAGUUCAAAGGCUCCCCAACUUCUCUAACGCCAUAUUUACCCCACUUUGAGAUGGCUCUAAACCCUCCUAGUUUGGGGGAGAGGCUUUGGAUGCCCUUGUUUACAUCCCGGGCACCUAAGUCACCAAACCAAAAAAGGAUGGGGGUAAAAUGUCAUGCGGAUUGGCCUUUUCGAGGGACGGAAAAUACAGAUAUUUAACUUUUCAUAAGGACUUUCAGGACUUAUCUCCAAAACCCGAAGCGAUGGCUAGAGGGGGAUAUUGAGGAAGGGUCCUAAAACCCGCUUUCCGGACCGGAAUCGACCACCGAUUCCGAAUGCCGUUUCUGCUUGGAGAACUAAACGGCUGGAUUUCCUUUGUCCGAACCCGAACUGCUAAAGUUUGUGGUCCUCCUCGGCCGCGGUCCGGAUCUCGCCCUCCUCGGUCGCUUCUUCGUCGGCCACGCCGUUGAGUUGCGACCGCAGCGCCGGGGCCCCGUUCCCCCCCUCGGACUUGCUGAAGUUAAAGAGUUUCCCCGGGUUGAAGGGCUUGGUGGGCGACUGGACCUUCUCGGCCUCCCGCUUCAUCUCCGGCGACUUGAGGAACUUGAAGCUGAGGAAACCGGGGAGUUUGUUGUCGGCCGAGGAGCCGGUCGGGGAUUGUGCCGCCGUCCCGCCCCCCGCCGCCGUCGCCGUGCCCCCGGAUAAGAACUUCCCUUGCAGCGGGAUGAUCUGCUUCAGCUUCAUGACGUUGUUGGUGGCCAGCAAGGAGCUGGGCCGCUUGGGUUUCUCGGCACCGUGGGAGCCGCCCCCUUUGCCUUUGCCUUGGCCCUUUUCAG